rnacentral:sRNA from 1 species
GGGUGAUCCAGCUGCAAAAUCUAUCACCCCAUUAGGACCACCUUCCCCAAUAGAGGAGGACCAUUCUUUGGUCAAGUGUAUACAAGUAGCUGCACUUUCCUGCUAGAACCUCCAAACAAGCUCUCAGGGCCCAAAGUGGUUGCACCAAUUUGCAGUUCCACCAGCAAUGUAUGAGCAUACCUUUUUUCCCAU